UGGGGAAUAUUGGACAACGGGCGAAAGCCUGAUCCAGCGACGCCGCGUGGGUGAUGAAGGCCUUCGGGUUGUAAAGCCCUUUCGCCGGGGACGAUGAUGACGGUACCCGGUGAGGAAGCACCGGCUAACUCCGUGCCAGCAGCCGCGGUAAGACGGAGGGUGCUAGCGUUGUUCGGAAUUACUGGGCGUAAAGGGCGCGUAGGCGGCCUGGGAAGUCGGCUUGUGAAAGCCCGGGGCUCAACCCCGGAGGUGCGGCCGAUACUCCCUGGCUGGAGGCCGGAAGAGGAGGGUGGAAUACCCAGUGUAGAGGUGAAAUUCGUAGAUAUUGGGUGGAACACCGGUGGCGAAAGCGGCUCUCUGGUCCGGACCUGACGCUGAGGCGCGAAAGCGUGGGGAGCAA
rnacentral:rRNA from 1 species